rnacentral:misc_RNA from 1 species
GGGAGCCAGAUGCUAGAAAGUGGCACGUCCGGAUCUGAGAGGGGCCGAGGGUCAAUGCGGCAAGGUUAGAAUCUUGUGACACCACCACAGGAAACUGGUGGCAAACAGGGAACACAAACCCUAACCGAAACCAAAGAGACCUCGGUCUACUCGCC